ensembl:misc_RNA
UCCACGCCCUCCCCCCCACCCCCCACCCCCCCGUCAAGCCUUUGGCAUCAUUAUCCUCAUCACUAAAUCCUACUGAGUACAGGGCGGAAAACGGUGCACAC